rnacentral:lncRNA from 1 species
AAAGAUAGAAGGGUUGAGAAGGUUCAUUAUAGUAUAAAUAGACAUACACAUCUACACACCUCACACAUAAUAACAUCCCAACAAAAAAGACCUCAAAACAAAAAAAGAAAAAAGAAAAAAGAAAAAAAGAAAGGUCAAAACUCGUGAGCUCUCAGAAUAAUAAAAACCACUAAAAUAUAGAAUCCAUAUAAAGACUAGCCACCAUCCCCCAUCAUGAGUAGCAUUGCCACUAGCCACGAAUGACAGCAGCAACACUAUGUAGCAACUUUUAAUUCCACCGUGAAUGGCAGCAAGAGAGUUUCCACCUUUGCAAGGAACUUCUUCCAUAACCAACACUGUGACAGACACUCUUCAUCCCCAACACAACACUUGACAACAACCAUUGUCACCUCCUAACACCAGCUGUAGCACCAUCUUCUUUAUAUUGUUCAUUCUCCAUAUCAACAACAAUCAUUGAUUCCUCCACUGCCAUCGUGAACUCAUUCCAUAGUCAACACCAACACCAAUAAUUGUGACAUAAAACCUGUAGAGAGAAGAAUUAAAGAAGAAUAAAGGUUACAAUAGAGAGAGAGAGA